GACGAACGCUGGCGGCGUGGAUUAGGCAUGCAAGUCGAACGGUAUCAUCCUUUCGGGGGUGAGAGAGUGGCGAACUGGUGAGUAACACGUAGGUUAUCUACCCUCAAGACGGGGACAACCCAGGGAAACUUGGGCUAAUACCGGAUGUGAGCAACUUUUAGUUGUUUGAAAGGUGGCGUAAGCUGUCGCUUGGGGAUGAGCCUGCGUCCUAUUAGUUAGUUGGUGAGGUAACGGCUCACCUAGGCAAUGAUAGGUAGGCGGCCUUAACGGGUGGUCGCCCACACUGGGAUUGAGAUACGGCCCAGACUCCUACGGGAGGCAGCAGUCGAGAAUAGUCUACAAUGGUCGGAAGACUGAUAGUGCGACGCCGCGUGAACGAUGAAUCCCUUCGGGGUGUAAAGUUCUUUUAUAUGUGAGCAGUGCUUCUUAUAUUAACAGUAUGGGGAGAGAGAUAUUAGCAUAUGAAUAAGCAACGGCUAACUCCGUGCCAGCAGCCGCGGUAAUCU
rnacentral:rRNA from 1 species